CCUUUGGCCCGCCUCCCUCUGGCCUCGCCCCGCCUCGCCCAUCCGCCGCGGCGCGCUGAGCGGGGAGGUGCGAGGGAGCCGCCCCCGCGGUCUGCGCGCUCGCCCGGCGGCUCCCGAGUCCGCGUUCCAAGUGGAACCGGAGCCCGGGCGCGGGCGCCCACGUUCCAUUCCCGGGAAGGCCUGGGAAGGGAGGGAAUCGCUCACCCGCCAGCCCGCCUGCAGGGAAAGGGCUCCUGGAGCUGUCGAUGCCUGCCCGACGCUGAGAUAACUCUUGGGUCCCAGUUAUCCACCAGCCACUUCUGCCUCGAUUCACCAAAGGGCAGGGAAAGAACCUUUUGGUGAGAUGGUGUGAAUUAGCGACAUCCAGCCUGAGCUGAAGUCUCCAGCGGGUCAAAGAAAUCUUUCCAUUUGCAAACUACCAAGGCUGACUUGCUGUGCAUUUGGCGGGCCUCCUGCCCCUGAUUCUGCUGGUUUGGAGAUGCUUUCUCGCUCUUUGGUUGGCUUCUGUCUCCACACAUUGUGGGGAUCCCAGGGAUUCGUCAUAGGACUCUCGGAUCGCUGGUGCCUCCACUGUGAUCUCCGGUCUCCCUGCGGCCAGCACUGACUUCUAGCAACAGAAUCCUGCAUGAGGGCCUAGGCACAGAACUUUAUUUCCACUCUUCUGAACACAUCUAAUGUGAUGCUCUGCAAUUGUCUGAAAUUUAUCCUACCCUAAGUCAUUAUCUUGUCCCCUUCUCUGGAACCUGCUUCACUUCCCGUAUCCCAAGCAUGAAUGCAGUAUGCUGCUACCACAAAUUACGCAGUUGAGUUUCCCACAUUUGGAGAAAUCACAGGGAUCAGCAAGUCUUCAGUGGAAUAGAGAAGCCUUGCCCUAGGGAAAACUACCCUUGUGGUCAUGGUAUCUACCCUGCCUGGUGAAGAAGGUCCUUGCUUCCCCUUCUCCUUCCGCCAUGAUUGUAAGUUUCCUGAGGCCUCCCCAGCCAUGUAGAACUGAUUUUUAUAAAUCUUGACCUUCAUAUUAUUGUACCAUUCAUGAUUUUGUGGUUUUAAAGGUGGCUUUUCUUUUCCUAAUUAUUUAUUGAAAAUCUUUAAUUCCUCCUGUGAAUUCUGCCAGCUCACUUUUCAUUUUUCCAUGGUCAUGUAUUUUAUUUUAUAUUUUUCAUUCUUUUUUAAAGUUAAAAUUAUUUUUAAAGGAUUUCUGUUCCUGGCUCUGAUGGAGCAACACGGACAGAUUUACCCUCUUACUUAAACAAAAUACAGACAAAAUUUAUAAAGGAUGGUUCUGAAACAUGGGACAACAGGCAGUAUAAACAGUAAUUUUUCAAAGAAGAUAAAAAAAGGAAGUAAACCCUAUGGUUUCUCUACUGAUUCCCUAGAAAGAGAUUUCAAGCUAUCAGUCUCACUCAAUUGAGAAGACAGAGUUCAUUGAGAAUUUGGGGAAAGUCAAAGUGGACAGAAUUCACAAAGAACUAAAAAAAAGAGUAUUGUGCAGAGAAAGAGCUCCAGCUACCUCCACAGAGUUUCCCUUGAGUUUUCAGAUCAUGCGUUUGGUGAACCCACCUGAGGCAAGGGAAAGAACUACCAGAAAGAAGCAGGUGGAAAAAUUCCUGAUGUUCACAUAGACCGGGAAAUUUCUCAAGUUUUUGUCAUCUGAAUUGAAGAAAUCUUAUACUGUAUGAGGUGUUGAAGAGAAUACUCAGAAGGACAAUGCCUCCGUAGUAGGACCAAACUAGCCUAGAGUAAAGGCUGGUCUGUCUUGUAUGACUCCUUGUGAAACUAUUCUGCUGAGUAUGUCACCAAUUUUCUUAGCGAAUCUAAGUGAUUCCAAGUAAUAAGUUGAAAUUUUCACUAUUUGUAUGUUUUUAUUGAUUAUUCAUUGUGGUUCUAAUAGUUUUUGGUUUAUAAUAUUUUGUUGGUCUGUUAUUUGCUGCAUAGUGGUUUAUGAUAGUUAUAUCUUUAUUGGAUCUUUAACAAUGUAGAAUAAGUUCUUUGUUUCAUUUCAUGUUAUUUGUUUCUAAAUUUUACUUCUUAUUUAACAGUAAUGUUGCAAAUCUUUAAAAAUGUUUUACUUUAUUUGUAAGGAAAACACCUAAAGCAAAGUGAAACAAUAAGUGAUGUAGGAUCUAUUAUUAUUAUUUUCCAUCAUGUGAAUCUUUGUCUUAACAGAGAGGCUUCGUCUAUUUAUAUUUGUUGUUACAAUUGAUUUCUUUCAUCAUUCUGUUAUUUCAGUGUUUCUCUUGAAAAAUAGGUUCUUGUUAUUCAAUGAUUUAGUUUUCACUUUAUGUAUCGUUUUCUUUAUUUUGUCCUUCAUAUUUUGCAAGCUAUAUAGCCUCUGUUAAAUUCCAUUAAUGGAUAUCUUUAAGCACUCUUUGACAUGUAAUUUUCUAAUGUCUCAGUAAAUAAAGAAUUUGUCAACAUAAAAUGUGUGUGUAGGCCAGGUGCGGUGGCUCAUGCCUGUAAUCCCAGAACUUUGGGAGGCCAAGGUGGGUGGAUCACCUGAGGUCAGGAUUUUGAAACCAGCCUGACCAACAUGGCGAAACCCCGUCUCUACUAAAAGAAUACAACACUUAGCCGGACGUGGGGG
rnacentral:lncRNA from 10 species